GCUCUGCCUCGACUACAGUAUAGACAUUAGGAAAAUGUCUUUCUCUACCUUGUUCCUACAUUUCCCUCCUUUACCAUAUUCAUUUUAUUAUAUUUUUUACUAUCUCUUUUUUAAUAAAAGUAAAUUGUUAAUUGUUUAAAAAAAUAAAUAAACCUUUUCUAAUCAGCUUUCCAACAUUCUAUCUGGACUUUUCUCCAAAGACAUCAAUGAUGUAUUUCAUUGUCAAAGAACAGGUCCUCUUAUUAAUCCUCAUUUUUCUUCACUUGGGUGAAUCAUUUCACAGUGUGCCCCAGAUUUUCUUCUUGGAUAUGAUCUCCUCUCCAAGUUUUCAUGGCACUAUGUUCUCUUGGUUCUCCUGUCUACUUCUUCUGGAUCACUUUUGCAAUUUCUUCAUGCAUGUCAUAUCUGCUAACUGCUGGGGUCUCCAAAGGUGCUGCCCUGGAUCCAUUUCUCUUUUCUCUAAGCACUUUCUCUCUCUUAGUAAUCUCAUUAGCUCUCUUAGGUUCAAUGAUCAUCUCUAUGCUGAUAAUUCUCAGAUCUGUUUAUCUAGUCUUAGUCUCUUACCUUAAGACCCACAAACAUGAAUGCCCUCUUGGACACUCCAAUCUGGAUGUCCUCUAGAAAAUUAAAUGAUUUUUAGUGAAUUCCCACUGAUAUUUUCAUCCCACGUAAGGUUGUUAGAGUCCAGGUAUGUUUAUGAAUCAGAGAAAAAUAGCCCAGCUAGAGUUUCUCCACUGCAAAACUCAACAUAUAGUAGCAGCUAGAAAGUCCAGUGGAUAGAGUCUGGAGUCAGAAUAACCUGGAUUCAAAUCUGGCCUCAGAUACUUACUAGCUGUGUGACCCUGAGUAAGUCACUUAACUUACACCAUUUUCCUACUCCUUAGACUGUUCUUCUGUCUUAGAAUUGAUAAUAAGAUGGAAGGUAGGAUUUUUUUUCUCCCUCCCCUCUCCUCUUAAUCCCCAAGGUAUGGUUUUUAAAAAAAAAAAACUCUCAAUACAUAUUAAACAUAUAUAUGUUUAACAAAGACUUUUAAGAAAAAGGAAGAGGGAGUGAAGAAGCAUGAGGAAAACUGAAGAAGAGGAGGAAGAGUUGAAAGAGGAGGAAUUAAAGAAGGGGAGAUAUUGGAGGAGGAUGAGUUAAAAGAGAAAGAGGAAAUAAGGUAAGAGAAGAGAAAAUAAAGUCUUUAUGGCCAUCAGUUUGAGCUUUCUUCAUUAGUGAAUACCCUCUGUUUCAGAGACAAGGGAAGGAACUUAUUCUUUAAAUGAAAAAGACUUUAUUUUCCUCAACAGAUCUUGGGAAUGGAGGCCAGAGACAAUCAACAAGAUUCGUACUAUCUUCAGAAGGUAUUUGAAUACCAGUUGUACUCCAGAUACAGAGAAACUGGAAAACAAAACAAAACAAAAAUGAAUUCUGCAAUGUGGGGAUGAGAAGAGAGACAGGGAAGGCACUGGGAUCUGUGUGCCUUUGGGUAAGGCUGGGCUGGCUAAGGAGCCUUGGGGAUAAGAGGAUGCUGAGACAUGAGCAGAUGCUUAGCUUUUCCUCCCUGCAGUCACAAACAGACACCAUCCUGCACAUCUGGGACGCUAUGCGAAGUUCCUCUAUCGAAGCUGGCAUUUCCCAGGCAGACUGCAGCUUUCACCCAGCUCAGGCUCCUUACUCUUGGGAUGAAAAUCCUGAAAGCUUUUCUGCUUAGUUGGAUUCUCAGCGCUCCGCAGCUUGUUAUUCCCGGAUCAGAUCGAGCUAUUCAUUCGCUCCUUUGUUCCCUCUUUCAGUCAGGCAAGCAGGCAGCAAGAGCAGCGGUGCCAACAUGUUUGGAGUGACUCAGGACAGCAGCGCCAUUCAAGGGUUCUGAGGAUCCACCGCCAGGGGCGGGAGAAGAAGCUUGUCCAGGUUCUUCCUUGUAUGGGUUUUGCUCGUUCUUCCUAUUUCUGUGAAGGACCUUACCUGAAUAGUAACAGCGAGCCUGGACUGUUUCUCUGAGGGACAUCUUAGACAGGGUGAGGGCAGCGCCCAGGGCAAGGCUGGCUCGAACUGAAGCAGCGCGCUCUACUAGCGAGAAUGGGAGUCUUUUCUGGGAAAAGAAAGCGAAAGUGGAGGUGGGUACUUGGAUCGCCAAGAGGAGAAAGCCAAGCCCUGGGGUCAAGAGGAGACGCCCGGAAACCUGAAAGAGCAGGAAGAACCCAGGUCCAAUCUGAGCCCCAGUCCAGGAGUUUCAUCAGAUCUGCCGGCUUCUCUGGCCCCUACCGUCAGCCCACAGAUUCUUCAAGUCACCCUGCAGCUAAGCAGAUCAAGCUCGGAGUACGAGGACCAGUCAGGACAGGGGCGCUCUUAUACGCAAUGCAGGGCAGUCUGGGCUCCAGGUCCCUGGUUCAAAGGAGAGCCGGGGGCCUCAAAGGAGCAGGGCUCGGUGUCUGGAGGAUACAAGAGGUGAUUUUCAUACAAAAGAGAAGCCACUCCAGGAACAGCCUGUGCAGUGUCAGAAGUAAUCAAGCAAGAAACUUUGGUUUCUGCCCUUGGGGAGCUUCCAGUCUUGAGAGCCAAUCACUCUAACAUACAAGCAGCUGGAGACACAAGCAUACAGAAGCUUCAACAAAAUACUACUGGAGGCUUGUAGAGAAUCGUUUCCAUCUGAGACAUUUGGGGAAGACUUCUUGUAAGAGGUGAAAAUUGUAAACGGAUAAAGAGAUUUCUACAGAUUUAGUGAGAGAGGGGACAUUUGGGGCACAGGGAAAGGUAUUGACAAAGAUAUAGAGAUGGGUAAGUAUAGGACUUGGACUCUUAGGAGGAAGAUUGACCCCUGUUCCCAAACAGGGGAAGAGGAAAUCUUCCUCAUUUAUGAACACUUUGGGUGGAAGGAGGCUAUGAAGGCUGAAGGACUUCUCUAAUGAAGAAAUAAGCCACAUUCUUGAUACUUGGGGCAAUUUAUUCACUCAGUUUAUCUGUAAACAAGGAAUCUCUUUGGUAAUGAAAUCAAUUAGGUAUUGCCACAUGGCAAAGGGAAAGAGAAGCCCUCAAAAGUCCAGAAGACUCAUGUCUAAUUGAGGUCUGAGAGAGGCUCUAGAAAGGGAUAUCACAAAGUGCUUAAGUUUACAGAGAAGACAGGAAAUGGGCUUUUUUCCUCCACCUGCCUCUGGGCUUGCUCAGAUAACAAAUGGCUGGAAACUCUGGGUAGAUGGCCACAGGCUCUCCCUCUCCCAGCUAGCCAGUCAGGUAGGACUUGAGCAUCUCUCUAUACUUUCAUCAUUUAAUAAAUAAGUUAUAAAAUGAAGAUCUGGUACAUCUUCUUGUCUAAAGAUCUUUAGUUUUAAACUGCCCUUAUUUCCCUGCUCUUUUCCUCUAGGCUUAGUAUGUGACAACUGGCUCCAAGCUACCUUUCCACCAUGAUCAAGUUACCUUCUAGGAGCCAAGAACAUUCCCUGUUCUUCAAAUUAACAAUCUGCUCCCACUCUAGUACCAUAAUCAAACACUCAAGUCAUUAACAAGCAUUUUCUAGGUGCCUGGCUUGGUAUAUAAGGAUCCCAGGGCUACAUAUUGCCUUAGAAAACCACAUAUUAACAUUUAUGUUUUAUUGUGUCUUGAUAUUGUUAAGAAUUUCCCAAUUGCACCUUAUCUUUUAUCUUGGAAUCAAUACUAACUAUUGGUUCCAAGGCAGAAGAGCAAUAAGGGCUAGGCAAAUGGGAUUAAGUGACUUGUCCAGGGCUACAUAGCUAGGAAAUGUCUGAGAUCUGAACUGAACUCAAGACCUCCUGCUUCUAGUUCUGGCUCUCUAUCCACCCAGUAACCUAGCUAUUCCACAAUUGCAUUAUAAUAUGAUUCCUGACACAUAUUUAAUUCCUCUGAUCCAGGUCAUCAAGUUUUGAGACACAGAACAUGUAAAGAAGAGAAAAUCUAGAAUUUCUGACUUUUUCAUCCUCUGAAUUUUUUUUUCUUUUGGUUAAUCUUUGGUGGAACAUAGUAUUUUUUCUUCUGUGCUUUUAUUCCCCACACCACCACCCAAUAAAGUUUUGAGACUA